rnacentral:tRNA from 1 species
GCCGGCUUAGCUCAGCUGGUAGAGCAGUUGCUUUGUAAGCUUCAGGUCGGGGGUUCGAGUCCCUCAGCCGGCACCA